AGCAGCCGCGGUAAUUCCAGCUCCAAUAGCGUAUAUUAAAGUUGUUGCAGUUAAAAAGCUCGUAGUUGAAUUUCGAGAUCAAAUUGUUGGUCGUGCCUCGGUACGUACUGGUAAGUUUGGUUUCUCCUUCUGAAGAACCAUGAUGUCAUUAAUUUGGUGUCUUGGGGAAUCAGGACUGUUACUUUGAAAAAUUGAGUGUUUAAAGCAGGCUCGCGCUUGAAUACAUUAGCAUGGAAUAAUGAAAUAGGACGUUUGAUUCUAUUUUGUUGGUUUCUAGGAUCGACGUAAUGAUUAAUAGGGAUAGGUUGGGGCAUUAGUAUUCAAUUGUCAGAGGUGAAAUUCUUGGAUUUAUUGAAGACUAACUACUGACGAAAGC
rnacentral:rRNA from 1 species